GGAGAGAUGACCGAGAGGCCGAAGGUGCUCGAUUGCUAAUCGAGUGUACGAGUAAAAUCGUACCGAGGGUUCGAAUCCCUCUCUCUCCG
rnacentral:tRNA from 2 species